GAUGAACGCUGGCGGCGUGCCUAAUACAUGCAAGUCGAGCGAACAGACGAGGAGCUUGCUCCUCUAACGUUAGCGGCGGACGGGUGAGUAACACGUGGAUAACCUACCUAUAAGACUGGGAUAACUUCGGGAAACCGGAGCUAAUACCGGAUAAUAUAUUGAACCGCAUGGUUCAAUAGUGAAAGACGGUUUUGCUGUCACUUAUAGAUGGAUCCGCGCCGCAUUAGCUAGUUGGUAAGGUAACAGCUUACCAAGGCAACGAUGCGUAGCCGACCUGAGAGGGUGAUCGGCCACACUGGAACUGAGACACGGUCCAGACUCCUACGGGAGGCAGCAGUAGGGAAUCUUCCGCAAUGGGCGAAAGCCUGACGGAGCAACGCCGUGUGAGUGAUGAAGGUCUUCGGAUCGUAAAACUCUGUUAUUAGGGAAGAACAAAUGUGUAAGUAACUAUGCACGUCUUGACGGUACCUAAUCAGAAAGCCACGGCUAACUACGUG
rnacentral:rRNA from 1 species